rnacentral:rRNA from 1 species
GAUGAACGCUGGCGGCGUGCCUAAUACAUGCAAGUCGAGCGAACAGACGAGGAGCUUGCUCCUUUGACGUUAGCGGCGGACGGGUGAGUAACACGUAGGUAACCUACCUAUAAGACUGGGAUAACUUCAGGAAACCGGAGCUAAUACCGGAUAAUAUUUCGAACCGCAUGGUUCGAUAGUGAUAGAUGGCUUUGCUAUCACUUAUAGAUGGACCUGCGCCGUAUUAGCUAGUUGGUAAGGUAACGGCUUACCAAGGCAACGAUACGUAGCCGACCUGAGAGGGUGAUCGGCCACACUGGAACUGAGACACGGUCCAGACUCCUACGGGAGGCAGCAGUAGGGAAUCUUCCGCAAUGGGCGAAAGCCUGACGGAGCAACGCCGCGUGAGUGAUGAAGGUCUUCGGAUCGUAAAACUCUGUUAUUAGGGAAGAACAAACGUGUAAGUAACUGUGCACGUCUUGACGGUACCUAAUCAGAAAGCCACGGCUAACUACGUG